GCCAGCAGCCAUAUCACCCUAUAACUCACAGCUGACAACCUACCGAAGCUCAGCAGGCGUGAGCCUGGUCAGUACCUGGGUGGGAGACCUCCUGAGAAAGCUGAGGUUGCUGCUGGAA
rnacentral:rRNA from 1 species